GGAGCACGCCGCGUGAGUGAUGAAGGUUUUCGGAUCGUAAAGCUCUGUUGUUAGGGAAGAACAAGUGCGAGAGUAACUGCUCGCACCUUGACGGUACCUAACCAGAAAGCCACGGCUAACUACGUGCCAGCAGCCGCGGUAAUACGUAGGUGGCAAGCGUUGUCCGGAAUUAUUGGGCGUAAAGGGCUCGCAGGCGGUUUCUUAAGUCUGAUGUGAAAGCCCCCGGCUCAACCGGGGAGGGUCAUUGGAAACUGGGAAACUUGAGUGCAGAAGAGGAGAGUGGAAUUCCACGUGUAGCGGUGAAAUGCGUAGAGAUGUGGAGGAACACCAGUGGCGAAGGCGACUCUCUGGUCUGUAACUGACGCUGAGGAGCGAAAGCGUGGGGAGCGAACAGGAUUAGAUACCCUGGUAGUCCACGCCGUAAACGAUGAGUGCUAAGUGUUAGGGGGUUUCCGCCCCUUAGUGCUGCAGCUAACGCAUUAAGCACUCCGCCCUGGGGAGA
rnacentral:rRNA from 1 species